GCCAUCUUCCGACCUCCGUCUUCUGAGUAAUUGGGACUACAGAUAUUGGUUGAGAAGCUACUAUGAGCCAGGCACAGUGCUUUGCUGGGGGUAUACAGAUGAUUGAAACACUGGUCUCUGCUUCAAAGAGCUAACGGGAAAGGUAGACACAUAAGCAGAUAACUAUUACCCAAUGUGGAAGCAGAGUUCAAUGGUUUAGUAACCCACCCAGUAGUUAUUCGCAGCCCUUUCUGGCUUCCAGAGCCCUCUUCCCAUUAUAAAAGUGAGAAUGCUUUUCUAACUUUCCUUGUAACCAGGAAGAGGGCAAGUUACCAAAUUCUGGUCAGUCUACUGGAAGGAUUUUAGGAAAGAUUUUUCACCUGAAAACAAAGAGGAACUCCUAAUCCUGAGUCUCCUGUUAUGAGCUGAAUCAUGUUCUCUUAGAAUUCAUUUAUUCAAGUCCUAACUCCCGGGACCUCAGAAUGUGACUGUAUUUGGAGAUACGGUCUUUAAAGAGGUAAUUAGGUUAAAAUAAGGCCAUUAGGGUGGAACCUAAUCCAGUAUGACUGGUGUUCUUGUAGGAAGAGGGCAUUAGAACAUGGACAUUCAACAGAAGGAAGACAUGUGAGGACACAGCAAGAAGAGGCUAUCUAGAAGCCAAGGAAAGAGACGUCUGAAGGAGCCAAUCCUGCCAACACUUUGAUCUCGGACUUCUAACCUCCAGAACUGUGAGAAAAUAAAAUUUCUGUUGCUUAAGU